CCUACGGGAGGCUGCAGUGGGGAAUAUUGGACAAUGGGGGGAACCCUGAUCCAGCCAUGCCGCGUGUGUGAAGAAGGCCCUCGGGUUGUAAAGCACUUUCAGUGAGGAAGAACGCCUGGUGGUUAAUACCCAUCAGGAAAGACAUCACUCACAGAAGAAGCACCGGCUAACUCCGUGCCAGCAGCCGCGGUAAUACGGAGGGUGCGAGCGUUAAUCGGAAUUACUGGGCGUAAAGCGCGCGUAGGUGGCUUGAUAAGCCGGCUGUGAAAGCCCCGGGCUCAACCUGGGAACGGCAUCCGGAACUGUCAAGCUAGAGUGCAGGAGAGGAAGGUAGAAUUCCCGGUGUAGCGGUGAAAUGCGUAGAGAUCGGGAGGAAUACCAGUGGCGAAGGCGGCCUUCUGGACUGACACUGACACUGAGGUGCGAAAGCGUGGGUAGCAAACAGGAUUAGAUACCCGGGUAGUC
rnacentral:rRNA from 1 species